CAUGGCAGCAGUGGGACGCUGGGGCGGCUUUAGAUUUAGAGCAUUUGAGUUAUUGAUAUGGUGAAGGUUUUCGCGGCCGAGAACGGCUAAGGGCUGUUUCUCUGUUGUUUCUUGUCGCGCUCACUUCUUCGUGACGCCCGCCUCUGACGACUGGUACGGACGUCGCCGAGCCACCCUGGCCGAGGGAGAUUCCUUUGUCAGCCUGAGAUUCUAAAUCUGCAAAAUGGGGAUAUAAGACUAGCUCCUGGGACAUUUGUGCAUGAGACAUUUGCGGUGGCGUGGGGACGGCACAUGACAUUCAAAUAGGAAUAAUGAAGGUCAAGACUGUCUCCUGGAUCUUCGAGUCUCUCAGUAUAAGCACGGUCGUGGGCCCGGAGCGGUUGCCUUUUACAGGAGUUUGAUUAAGUGAAGGAUUAAAUGGGCAAACUCCCAAGUAUUCUGCCAGGCAAUCUUUUCAUUCUCUUCCUUUCCAACAGGUUGGUAAAUAAAUCAGUUCACUGAUCUAAUAAAAAUGUACCUAGUGCCUACAAUGUGCCAGGCUCCGGGAAUCAAAGGAACUGACAAGCAGGGACACUCCUAGAGAAACCCUCACCAGCUCUGGAUUCCGCGUCAGCACACAGGCUCUAGAGUUCCAAUCUCAGCUCCACCACUUAACAACUGUGAAACCAGGCAAGGCAUUGAUUACCUUUCCUGAAGCAAAAUGGUUGUGAUAAAAUAGAAGAGGCAGCAGAGGAGGCCACGCCCUACGGGGAGGUACCAGGGUCACACAGGGUGUUUAAGGGCGGUGCCUGCCCCAUCCCACAUCGAUUCUAUCCACUUACACGUGAGCGACUAAUGCAUAGACUGACUCCUGUCUGUUCAGGGUCACAAAGAAAAAAAGCUCUGCACAUGUCAUCUCUUCGAUUCCCCAAUCUUCCAAGUGUUUCUUACAGAUGGCUUCUCCCCUACUUAUCUUUCAAGCAUCUGUGAGCACUGUCCUGAGAUAGCUGAGAGGAGGUUCUGCAGGCCUGGGGCGUUACUGUGUGGCAAGCAUCCUCAAAAGGUGAUAAAGGUGAGGUGAGCGCCAGCUCCAGGUAUGUCCCUCAACUGCGUGGCAUCUGCUGGCGGAGGCAGGGGGUGGAGGCAGCUGUCACGUAAGAAGUCUGGCUAUCCUGAGACCGCCAUCCGCAAGAAGUCCAGACUGGCAUGUGGAGAGAGUACACGAGAGUGAUGCCUGCAGAUCAUCCAACACCUGAGCCCAGGCACCAGACACCCGAAUGCAGGACCCUACAGUGGACCAUCUGACUAGGGUGACAAGCCCCGGCCACCAUCUGACUCCGAGGACCACCGGGGUUGCUCUAGUUGACUCCCAGAGCUGAGAGGUUGCACAAGGCAUGGUUUUAAGUCCCAAAGCCAGGGGCCGGUUAGUCACACAGUGAGGGACGGGCGGAACCAUGAAUGAGCCUGGAUGCCUUCCGGGACACUGACACUCCACAGCGGCACGUGGCUUAGUCUGAAUUUUCAGUUUUUGUCACAAAAGAACACAUAUCGUGGCCUGAGCUUGACAGAACGGAAGAUCCAGACCAGCCUGAGAUGGGCAAAAAGUAGCUGAGAUCACGCCCCUCGAGGGUCAUGAGCUUCCUGGGCCCACGACUCCGGUAGCAGCCCAUCCCACUGCCGUCUCAAGACCGGGAAGACACGAGCUGCUUCCCUCUGUGAGCUCAUCACUUCCCAGGCAUCACACCCACCUCACCCACCAGCCCCUCCCAAUAAACCCAGGAAGUUCUAACUUCCCCCUUUUACAGAUGAAGAAACAGGGGCCCAAGCCACAUAGCUGGUACUCUGGCCCGACUCCAAAAAGCCAUACCCCACGCCACUGUGAGUCACUGCCUUCCCGAAGCCACACUACCGUCAUGGGAAUGCAGGAAAGGGGGUGUGAGCAAAACAUUUAACCCUUAAGGAUAAAAAACUGUUGAGCCUGGUUGAUCCCUAAGCAUUUGGGGGAUUGUCAAGCCAAGGACCAACUCAGCAGGUUUGGAGAAAGUGCAAAUGCUGCAAAUGACAAAGAAAGGAGGGGACCAGCUCCUGGGAGCUCGCCUCCUGCAAUGGAAUGUCCUUUACUAAAAGGAGUGUCUUUGGACACGUAGGACCCCGGCCCACCGAAGGCCAGAGAGUCUAUGCUAAUCCUAUGGUUUAUAGGGGGAAGGUCUUGGGUCACGCUGUCAUCAUUCGGCCUCUUGAAGGGCUGGAGACAAGAGUAACUAAGGUCAGUUGCCCCAUGCCUUCGUGACUGAUGCCCAGUAAAAAAAUGCUGGCCACCAAGCCGCAGGCGAGCCUUCCUGGCUGGCAACACUUCACACGUCAUCACAUACCCUUGGCAGAAGUGAGCGCGUUCGCUUAGACUCCGCUAGGAGAGGGUAUCUGAGGGCUUGUGUGUAGGCUCUCCCGGACUUCUCUGCGCCUUCUCCCCCUUUGCUGACUUUAGUUUUGAGUAUUUAUUUGGCUGUGUCAGGCCUCCAUCGCAGCGUGCGGGAUCUUUCAUUGCACUGCCGGGCUCUAGAGUACGCAGGCUCAGUAGCUGUUCUGAGCUAUGUGGGAUCUUAGGUCCUCAAGUUCCCACGGAUCCAACCCGCCUUCCCUGCAUCCCAAGGUGCAUUCCUAACCACCAGGGAAGCCCCUCCUUGCUGAUUUUAAUCCACGUCUUUUCACUGUAAUAAACCAUUAACUGUGAGUCCACCAGGUUUGCGCAAUUCCAUGAGUUCUAGCCAACUGCAGAACCCGAGGGCGGCCCUGGGAUUCCCCGACGUGGGAGUUCAGCUUUGCCCUUGCAUGGGCCUAUUCUCCAGCUUUUGCUCUUCAUCAG
ensembl:lncRNA